rnacentral:rRNA from 1 species
ACGAACGCUGGCGGCGUGCUUAACACAUGCACGUCGAACGGAAAGGCCCUGCUUUUGUGGGGUGCUCGAGUGGCGAACGGGUGAGUAACACGUGAGUAACCUGCCCUUGACUUUGGGAUAACUUCAGGAAACUGGGGCUAAUACCGGAUAGGAGCUCCUGCUGCAUGGUGGGGGUUGGAAAGUUUCGGCGGUUGGGGAUGGACUCGCGGCUUAUCAGCUUGUUGGUGGGGUAGUGGCUUACCAAGGCUUUGACGGGUAGCCGGCCUGAGGGGGUGACCGGCCACAUUGGGACUGAGGUACGGCCCAGACUCCUACGGGAGGCAGCAGUGGGGAAUAUUGCACAAUGGGCGGAAGCCUGAUGCAGCAACGCCGCGUGCGGGAUGACGGCCUUCGGGUUGUAAACCGCUUUCGCCUGUGACGAAGCGUGAGUGACGGUAAUGGGUAAAGAAGCACCGGCUAACUACGUG